GUUUGCUUCUGUGCUUGUUAAGCUCAGUCUCUUGGAUUGUUUUUGAAUUAUGUUUUGCCCAUCUUGCAGUUCCAGGAUCUGUUUAUGCUGCUGAUUACCAAACUUUCACUGCUCAAUCAAUGACCAAAGUUGAUGAUUGAGUCAUUUUGCAAGAUUCCAGGAUGUCAAGUGUACAAGAACAAACUCAUUAUAACGAUGUUAUGAGUAGUGACAGUGAGGAUGAUGAUGUUGAGAUGGUAGAUCCUUUGGAUGGCUCUACAACUGUUAAUUUCGGUGUGACACCGAGUCACUGACUGUUGAAUCUGUAUUUCUGUAAUCUGUUUCUGUUGAUUGAAUUGAAUGGAAAAUGUCAAAUGAA